CGUAGGUGGCAAGCGUUGUCCGGAAUUAUUGGGCGUAAAGCGCGCGCAGGCGGUUCCUUAAGUCUGAUGUGAAAGCCCCCGGCUCAACCGGGGAAGGUCAUUGGAAACUGGGGAACUUGAGUGCAGAAGAGAAGAGCGGAAUUCCACGUGUAGCGGUGAAAUGUGUAGAGAUGUGGAGGAACACCAGUGGCGAAGGCGGCUCUUUGGUCUGUAACUGACGCUGAGGCGCGAAAGCGUGGGGAGCAAACAGGAUUAGAUACCCUGGUAGUCCACGCCGUAAACGAUGAGUGCUAAGUGUUAGAGGGUUUCCGCCCUUUAGUGCUGCAGCUAACGCAUUAAGCACUCCGCCUGGGGAGUACGGCCGCAAGGUUA
rnacentral:rRNA from 1 species